GAUGAACGCUGGCGGUGUGCCUAAUACAUGCAAGUCGAGCGGAAAGACAAUAAGAUUUCUCCUUUGCCGUUAGCGGCUGACGGACGAGUAACACGUAGAUCACCUACUAAUAUGACUGGGAUAAUUACGGGGAAAAGGAGCUGCUAAUAGCUAAUAUGAUGAACCGCUUGAAUCAACAGUGAUAGACGCUCUUGCCGUUUCUAUUAGCUGAAUCCGCGUCGCAUUAGCUAGUUGGUAAGGUAACGGCAUACCAAGGAUACGAUGCGUAGCUGACCUGAGAGGGUGAUCGGCCACACUGGAACUGAGACACGGUCCAGACUCCUACGGGAGGCAGCAGUGGGGAAUCUUCGGCAAUGGGCGAAAGCCUGACGCAGCCACACCGCGUGAGUGAAGAAGGCCUUCGGAUCGUAAAGCCCUUUUAUUAGGAAAGAAAAGAUGUAUAAGUAUCUAUGCCCGUCUUGACGGUACCUAAACAAAAAGCCACGGCUAACUUCGUG
rnacentral:rRNA from 1 species